AGCAGCCGCGGUAAUUCCAGCUCCAAUAGCGUAUAUUAAAGUUGUUGCAGUUAAAAAGCUCGUAGUUGAAUUUCGGAAUCAGUAUGUCGGUCGUGCCUCCGGUAUGUACUGGCGUCACUGGUUCCUCCCUUCUGACGAACCAUCAUGCUAUUAAUUUAGUGUGGUGGGAAAUCAGGACUGUUACUUUGAAAAAAUUAGAGUGUUUAAAGCAGGCUCACGCUUGAAUACAUUAGCAUGGAAUAAUGAAAUAGGACGUUGAUCCUAUUUUGUUGGUUUCUAGGAUUGACGUAAUGAUUAAUAGGGAUAGUUGGGGGCAUUAGUAUUCAAUUGUCAGAGGUGAAAUUCUUGGAUUUAUUGAAGACUAACUACUGCGAAAGCAUUUGCCAAGGAUGUUUUCAUUAAUCAAGAACGAAAGUUAGGGGAUCGAAGACGAUCAGAUACCGUCGUAGU
rnacentral:rRNA from 1 species